GUGCCAGCCGCCGCGGUAAUACGUAGGCAGCGAGCGUUGUUCGGAGUUACUGGGCGUAAAGAGUGCGUAGGCGGCGGCCUAAGUCUGGUGUGAAAUCUCCCGGCUCAACUGGGAGGGUGCGCCGGAAACUGGGUUGCUCGAGUGUGGGAGAGGCAAGCGGAAUUCCUGGUGUAGCGGUGAAAUGCGUAGAUAUCAGGAGGAACACCUGAGGUGUAGACGGCUUGCUGGACCAUGACUGACGCUGAGGCACGAAAGCGUGGGGAGCAAACAGGAUUAGAAACCCCGGUAGUCC
rnacentral:rRNA from 1 species